rnacentral:rRNA from 1 species
AUUGAACGCUGGCGGCAGGCCUAACACAUGCAAGUCGAACGAGUGGCGGACGGGUGCGUAAUGUAUGGGAAACUGCCUGAUGGAGGGGGAUAACUACUGGAAACGGUAGCUAAUACCGCAUACCAUCGGAUGUGCCCAGAUUGGAUUAGCUAGUAGGGGGGGGAAAGGCUCACCAAGGCCACGAUCCCUAGCUGGUCUGAGAGGAUGACCAUCCACACUGGAACUGAGACACGGUCCAGACUCCUACGGGAGGCAGCAGUGGGGAAGAUUGCACAAGGGGCGAAAGCCUGAUGCAGCCAUGCCGCGUGUAUGAAGAAGGCCUUCGGGUUGUAAAGUACUUUCAGCUGGGAGGCGUUACCCGCAGAAGAAGCACCGGCUAACUCCGUGCCAUCAGCCGCGGUAAUAC